UUAAAUUGAAGAGUUUGAUCAUGGCUCAGAUUGAACGCUGGCGGCAGGCCUAACACAUGCAAGUCGAACGGUAACAGGAAGCAGCUUGCUGCUUCGCUGACGAGUGGCGGACGGGUGAGUAAUGUCUGGGAAACUGCCUGAUGGAGGGGGAUAACUACUGGAAACGGUAGCUAAUACCGCAUAACGUCGCAAGACCAAAGAGGGGGACCUUCGGGCCUCUUGCCAUCGGAUGUGCCCAGAUGGGAUUAGCUUGUUGGUGGGGUAACGGCUCACCAAGGCGACGAUCCCUAGCUGGUCUGAGAGGAUGACCAGCCACACUGGAACUGAGACACGGUCCAGACUCCUACGGGAGGCAGCAGUGGGGAAUAUUGCACAAUGGGCGCAAGCCUGAUGCAGCCAUGCCGCGUGUAUGAAGAAGGCCUUCGGGUUGUAAAGUACUUUCAGCGGGGAGGAAGGGAGUAAAGUUAAUACCUUUGCUCAUUGACGUUACCCGCAGAAGAAGCACCGGCUAACUCCGUGCCAGCAGCCGCGGUAAUACGGAGGGUGCAAGCGUUAAUCGGAAUUACUGGGCGUAAAGCGCACGCAGGCGGUUUGUUAAGUCAGAUGUGAAAUCCCCGGGCUCAACCUGGGAACUGCAUCUGAUACUGGCAAGCUUGAGUCUCGUAGAGGGGGGUAGAAUUCCAGGUGUAGCGGUGAAAUGCGUAGAGAUCUGGAGGAAUACCGGUGGCGAAGGCGGCCCCCUGGACGAAGACUGACGCUCAGGUGCGAAAGCGUGGGGAGCAAACAGGAUUAGAUACCCUGGUAGUCCACGCCGUAAACGAUGUCGACUUGGAGGUUGUGCCCUUGAGGCGUGGCUUCCGGAGCUAACGCGUUAAGUCGACCGCCUGGGGAGUACGGCCGCAAGGUUAAAACUCAAAUGAAUUGACGGGGGCCCGCACAAGCGGUGGAGCAUGUGGUUUAAUUCGAUGCAACGCGAAGAACCUUACCUGGUCUUGACAUCCACGGAAGUUUUCAGAGAUGAGAAUGUGCCUUCGGGAACCGUGAGACAGGUGCUGCAUGGCUGUCGUCAGCUCGUGUUGUGAAAUGUUGGGUUAAGUCCCGCAACGAGCGCAACCCUUAUCCUUUGUUGCCAGCGGUCCGGCCGGGAACUCAAAGGAGACUGCCAGUGAUAAACUGGAGGAAGGUGGGGAUGACGUCAAGUCAUCAUGGCCCUUACGACCAGGGCUACACACGUGCUACAAUGGCGCAUACAAAGAGAAGCGACCUCGCGAGAGCAAGCGGACCUCAUAAAGUGCGUCGUAGUCCGGAUUGGAGUCUGCAACUCGACUCCAUGAAGUCGGAAUCGCUAGUAAUCGUGGAUCAGAAUGCCACGGUGAAUACGUUCCCGGGCCUUGUACACACCGCCCGUCACACCAUGGGAGUGGGUUGCAAAAGAAGUAGGUAGCUUAACCUUCGGGAGGGCGCUUACCACUUUGUGAUUCAUGACUGGGGUGAAGUCGUAACAAGGUAACCGUAGGGGAACCUGCGGUUGGAUCACCUCCUUACCUUAAAGAA
rnacentral:rRNA from 1 species